AGCUUUGCGCAGUGGCAGUAUCAUAGCCAAUGAGGUUUAUCCGAGGCACAUUUAUUGCUAAUUGAAAACUUUUGCCAAAUGGGCUGAGUCUUAGGUUAGUCUUAGGGACUGUGGCAAUCCUGGGUAGUGCGGUAGGAGGCA